rnacentral:rRNA from 1 species
AGCGAAUGGAUUAAGAGCUUGCUCUUAUGAAGUUAGCGGCGGACGGGUGAGUAACACGUGGGUAACCUGCCCAUAAGACUGGGAUAACUCCGGGAAACCGGGGCUAAUACCGGAUAACAUUUUGAACUGCAUGGUUCGAAAUUGAAAGGCGGCUUCGGCUGUCACUUAUGGAUGGACCCGCGUCGCAUUAGCUAGUUGGUGAGGUAACGGCUCACCAAGGCAACGAUGCGUAGCCGACCUGAGAGGGUGAUCGGCCACACUGGGACUGAGACACGGCCCAGACUCCUACGGGAGGCAGCAGUAGGGAAUCUUCCGCAAUGGACGAAAGUCUGACGGAGCAACGCCGCGUGAGUGAUGAAGGCUUUCGGGUCGUAAAACUCUGUUGUUAGGGAAGAACAAGUGCUAGUUGAAUAAGCUGGCACCUUGACGGUACCUAACCAGAAAGCCACGGCUAACUACGUGCCAGCAGCCGCGGUAAUACGUAGGUGGCAAGCGUUAUCCGGAAUUAUUGGGCGUAAAGCGCGCGCAGGU